CUCCUCCGAGUCGGCAGCAAGAGGGUUCUACCAUCAGGGUGGCCUGUUCAGUGGCAUCCCCUUGUCCCCAGAGUCCCCCCACCUUAACCUGGAGGCCAGCGUUGGGUGACAGCGUGGUGACGAUGCAGAAGAAAGAAGACGGAACGCAGGAAGUGUCGUCUGUCCUGAGCUUCAUCUCUUCCUCGGUGCACAACGGCGUCGACCUCAGCUGCGUUGUGUCCAGUUCAGAAACGCGAGCCGCCGUGCAGGAGACCAUCAGACUCGCUGUGGACUAUUGUCCAAAGAACGUGUCCGUGUCGGUGACUCCAGCAGAGUGGCUGCUGGGCAGUGAUGUCACUCUGUCCUGCUUUAGUGACGCCCACCCUGCUGUGGAAAGUUACUGGUGGUUCUGGGAGAACGGGAACCAUCCUGAGCUGGUGGGUCAGGCAGCAGACCUCAGUCUCAACUUGACCCUCAGAACCAUGGGCAGAUAUUGGUGUCGAGUGCAGAAUAGACUCGGAGAAGCCAGCUCUACUGUGGUGGAGCUGAGGAUCCCAGGUUCAGAUUUUCUGAGGUGGAUGCUUGCUGGAGGCUUGUCUCUUCUGUUAGCAUCUUCCUUAGGUGGCUGCAUGAUUUACUGGUGCAGGAGAGCCAACCGUCAUCGCAGGACGAU
ensembl:lncRNA